AUGAAUGGAUUAAAAGCGGAAUACUGUAUGUUAAAGACAUCUUUAAAGAAAACGGUAAAUUAAAAAGUACAAAAGACAUAUUUGAUAGGUUAAACAAAAAAAGCAAUUGGAUCUGCGAGUAUAAAAUAAUACAAAAAGUGUUUAAGAAGUUUGAAUUCAUGUAUGAUUUUUCUAAAAUCCCCUAUAUCAAAAUGCAACAGAAUGACAAAGAAUACAAAACUAAAUGUUUUUAUUCGAAGCUUGUAUUAGCUCAAAUUUCAAAGUCCAAUUUCACAAGGGAAGCUUGGUAGGGAUUUCCAAAUCCCAGAUAAGGAAGUUUGGAAAUCAAUAUAUUUCAACAAAAUUAAAAAUGUCAAAGAUAAAAGUAUUGCGGAAUUUAAUUAUAAACUUCUAAACAAUUUACUAAGUAAUAAUCUGUUAAUUAGUAAGUGGAAUAAAGGGGUAAAUAAUAAAUGCAAAAUAUGUAGAACCGAGAUAGAAAAUGCACAGCAUCUAAUUUUUGAUUGUGUAAAUGUAAAACAUGUUUGGCAUAUGGCAAGCCAAUGCUUAAAUUUUACUGUUGUUUGGAAAAAUGUCAUUGUUGGUUUUUUUGUUGAUGAUAACGAAACAACAAAGCUUUAUAAUAUCUUCCUCUCAUUUAUUGCAUUCAGAAUUUACAAAUAUAAAAUGUUCUGUAGAGUUGAAAACUUAGAAGAAACAAGUCAAUCGUUAAGAAUGUAUAUUAAAGAGAAAACUUUAUGAUAUUGUUCAGUUCUAUCCUUUUUACAUCAAAUGAAAGAAAAGAAACUUUUUCAAAACUUUGCAUUUUUACUAUGAAUAUGCAUUUAUGCUAUAACUAUUAUGUAUGUAUAUAUAUAUAUAUAUUUAUAUACGCCCACCCUCCGAGGGAGACAGUCCCUCUGUUGUAUACAAGGGUUUCUAACAUGGACACAGACUUUGACUGAUGGUAGUGAAACCCUUCGUUAUGUGUGGGCCAAAAAAAUCACAUGUAAUUAUCAAUGCAAUGAUUUUUUUCCACUUUUUUCUGAUUAACACAUACAGGUAGCAUCUUUAAAUUAUUUCAUAAAAACUUGAUAUAUAUCGUUUUUUCAACAUAUGUUGAUUUUUUUAUUUUUUUCUGAUUAACUCAUAUACAUAUACAGUGUACAUUUUUAGUUUAUAAAAACCUGAUAUAUAUUGUAAAUAUUUUCACCAUAUGCUAUUUUCUGAUAUGUUAUUAAUACUUGUUUAUAAGGAAUCAAUAAAUGGUAUUAAAAAAAAAAAAGAUUUUGCAGUUGAGAUCAUUAAUGCAUCUUUUGCUUAAAAAGCAUCCCCCAGAAGAAAAUUAAACUAUUCACUUAUUCUCUAUGAAAUGUCAAACCUUGAUAUAAUAAAAUAUGUACAUGUAAUAUUUCAUUCCAACUUAUUUUUACCUAUAUAUUUACAAUGAAAAUCUAUGAUGCCUCUUCACCCCUUGUGCGAAUGUUAUUGUCAUUUAAAUUUUAGACCACGUGAUUUUAUUUGACCCUUUCAGUUUUGCAGUAAAAAUCAUGCCUCCUGUUUAUAUUCUAUCUUAAAAGUUUGUAGUAAAAUAUAAAAUCUAGAAGUUUAUUGAUUUUAAACUUUAUCUUCAUUAAUUGGUGUAUAAAAUGUGUUCUAGAAAUAAAUUUGACAAUACAAAAAAUAGUUUUUGUCUGCUGUUGCAACAAUUAACAUGCUUGUUGAGAUCCCCCCUGAGGAUUAAUUUUCGAUCCCCGCCUGACCUAGUAAUAGCAUCAAUAGUGAAACAGACUAUACUAUUUUAUGCAGAAUGUUCCUUGGAAAUGGCUCGAUAUACCAAGUUUUUAUGCAAAACAGACACCCAUUAUUUUUCUAAAAACACGGUAUUGCACACCACAAGCAUCAAACAUGGCUAUGAUUUUAUUAAGCAACCCAAUGUUUAUAUUUUCAGCCACUCUACACGUGGUUAAACACGAACGAUAACUAUGUUCUGAAUAUUAUCGUUUGAUGUAAAUAACCGCUUGAUGGUGAAAUAAGACAUUAAUGUUCUAACAUAAAUCAAAGUAGGAUAUAAUGUGAAAAACGACGAGUACUUACGUAUUUUGAGAAUAUUAUCCGAACACUUAUACUUCCGCUCGAAAUUUCACAGGAACUGAACAAAUCUCGAUGAAGUCUCGUGAACUUUCAUUCGAGCACAUCUGGAUUUAUUACAUACUUACGCUGUAGCAACGAUAAAAAAAAUAUUCCAAACACAUUCGCAGGGGUUAAUUGGGACAAUUUUGUAUAAGUUUUUGAAUUUAAUAAAUGUCAAUAAAAGCAU
rnacentral:misc_RNA from 1 species